CCAAUAGCGUAUAUUAAAGUUGUUGCAGUUAAAAAGCUCGUAGUUGAAUUUCGGGGUUAGUAGGUUGGUCAUGCCUCUGGUAUGUACUGGUCUCACUGAUUCCUCCUUCCUGAUGAACCUUAAUGCCAUUAAUUUGGUGUUUUGGGGAAUUUGGACUGUUACUUUGAAAAAAUUAGAGUGUUUAAAGCAAGCUAACGCUUGAAUACAUUAGCAUGGAAUAAUGAAAUAGGACGUUCGAUCCUAUUUUGUUGGUUUCUAGGAUUGACGUAAUGAUUAAUAGGGAUAGUUGGGGGCAUUAGUAUUCAAUUGUCAGAGGUGAAAUUCUUGGAUUUAUUGAAGACUAACUACUGCGAAAGCAUUUGCCAAGGAUGUUUUCAUUAAUCAAGAACGAAAGUUAGGGGAUCGAAGACGAUCAGAUACCGUCGUAGUCUUAACCAUAAACUAUGCCGACUAGGGAUCGGAUGAUGUUAAUUUUUUAAUGACUCAUUCGGCGCCUUACGGGAAACCAAAGUUUUGGGUUC
rnacentral:rRNA from 1 species